ACGGCCGUACCAUGCUGAAUAUACCGGUUCUCGUUAGAUCACCGAAGUCAAGCAUCAUUGGGUGCGGUCAGUACUUGGGUGGGGGGAACACC
rnacentral:rRNA from 1 species